GAUGAACGCUGGCGGCGUGCCUAAUACAUGCAAGUCGAGCGAACAGACGAGGAGCUUGCUCCUCUGACGUUAGCGGCGGACGGGUGAGUAACACGUGGAUAACCUACCUAUAAGACUGGGAUAACUUCGGGAAACCGGAGCUAAUACCGGAUAAUAUAUUGAACCGCAGGGUUCAAUAGUGAAAGACGGUUUUGCUGGCACUUAUAGAUGGAUCCGCGCCGCAUUAGCUAGUUGGUAAGGUAACGGCUUACCAAGGCAACGAUGCGUAGCCGACCUGAGAGGGUGGUCGGCCACACUGGAACUUGGCCACGGUCCAGACUCCUGCGGGAGGCAGCAGUAGGGAAUCUUCCGCAGUGGGCGAAAGCCUGACGGAGCAGCGCCGCGUGAGUGAUGAAGGUCUUCGGAUCGUAAAACUCUGUUAUUGGGGAAGAACAAAUGUGUAAGUAACUAUGCACGUCUUGACGGUACCUAAUCAGAAAGCCACGGCUAACUACGUG
rnacentral:rRNA from 1 species